rnacentral:rRNA from 1 species
GCGGAAGGCCCUUCGGGGUACUCGAGCGGCGAACGGGUGAGUAACACGUGAGUAACCUGCCCCAGGCUUUGGGAUAACCCUCGGAAACGGGGGCUAAUACCGGAUAUGACUUCUGACCGCAUGGUUGGGGGUGGAAAGUUUUUUCGGCUUGGGAUGGGCUCGCGGCCUAUCAGCUUGUUGGUGGGGUGAUGGCCUACCAAGGCGACGACGGGUAGCCGGCCUGAGAGGGCGACCGGCCACACUGGGACUGAGACACGGCCCAGACUCCUACGGGAGGCAGCAGUGGGGAAUAUUGCACAAUGGGCGGAAGCCUGAUGCAGCGACGCCGCGUGAGGGAUGACGGCCUUCGGGUUGUAAACCUCUUUCAGCAGGGACGAAGCGCAAGUGACGGUACCUGCAGAAGAAGCGCCGGCCAACUACGUGCCAGCAGCCGCGGGUAAGACGUAGGGGCGCGAGCGUUGUCCGGAUUUAUUGGGCGUAAAGAGC